AACCCAUUCUUCACUUCGUCUAUUUUCUAUUCAUCUUCCACUUAUCUUACUAUACACGAAACGCGAAAUCCACGACGAAGAACGCGAGAGUGGGAACAACACGAGCAUCCGCGGCGCCGGCGGCGAUCUCACUGACGACGACGACGGUCACCCGUGGGCCACGGCGGUCGGCGAGCCAGCGGUGAAGCCAACUAGGUAGCGACGGUCACACGGCGGCGUCGGUCUCCCACGGCAGCGACGUAACAGGCGCACUCCCUUCCCUUCCCAAUUUAUGCUUUGUGUGUGAUGUUGUGGUUCUCUGCGUGUGUGUGUGGGGUUGAGCAUGUUGGAGGACAUGUUCCAGAGGGUCACUCCAUGACACUUGAUGUUGGACUUACUUAUUGUGAAGGUGUUUGACUUAUUAUUGUCUAAGGUAUUCUUUAUAUGCAAUUAAAGAAUCAUAAUUCUCAUUUCAUAAUUCAGUUGGAAUUAGAGGUGAGUUUUUAACUUAUUGAGUUGAUAUUUUAUCUUAUUCAUGUUUAAUUUAAAUUUUAUUACUUUACAUUAAUAUGAUUGUAGGAUCAAAACCCUUUAGACAGUUAAAUAGAAAAAUAAAAAUUUUUUAGGGAAUGUAAUUAAUUAAACUGCAUGGUCCUUCGUGCAUACAAAAUGCAACAUAUAGUAUAUAUAGUAUAUAAGAUACUUUGAUGCACUUUACUACAUUUAUUUACGACCCAUUCAGCGCCCAAAAUCAUUUUAUUAAAUAAAAUUUGUUUUUAUUAGCUAUCGAAUU